AAUAAGUUGAUUCGUGGGUUUCUGUGUACAGUCUUUGACCGUUCGUCUUGUAUGAAAUUUUUUAUGAUUAGUAUUUUUAUUUUUGUCAGAUGAUAAAACAUGAAUAAUACUUUAUGUAUGACUUAUCUUUUUAAAUUUUUUUAUAUUUUUUUCAAAUAAAACGGAUGGUUAAAGGUUGUACACGGAAAUCCACGAAUCAACCUAUU
rfam:Oryza rufipogon genomic scaffold, chr10